UGCCGCCGAUUCCCGAUCGAGUUAAGAUCCACUGGAUGUAAUAUCGGUACUCCUCCGCCGCGGCGGACGCAUUGGUGGGGCAACGGCUAGUUUUCCCUGGUUCGACGGCGGCGAAUAUUUUCUUACUUUGCAGUUGUCCGAAGAUGUGGAGAUUCUUGGCUUCUUGUUGCCUGAGCUUGUUGCAUGUUUGUUCCUGUUGGUGUCGAAAAGCCGGAGCUUCGGUGAAAAUGACAAUGUUGCCCAUUGCUUGGCACCAGGGCUAGGGCUGUUUUCAUCUCCCAAAUCCCUGGAAUUUGUCUUGGCAGGUUUGAGCCUGGGAAUAAGAUUUUCAUCCCUUCUGAUGUCCUUAUAUUUUUCGGGGUUUACAUUGGUGAUGUCAAGGCCAACUCUUCUACUCACACUUUGUUUUAUCUGCUUGACAAUUUGCUUCGCGUAAUGCCCUGGACUUCUGUUCUCAUCCUGAACCUGGCGCCGGAGUCUCCCUGGUGCCCUGAUUCUACCUGGCAAUGAUCUGAUGCCAACGCCGACGUCAUCUGCGGAAAAUGUGGUUCUUGAUCUAACCUGGAGAAGAUUUCUGUCCUUUCUCAGGGAUUUCAUGCUGGGCCCGGAGUUGGAAGAGGAUAGCGAUGGAGAAGUGCAUUCUGGGAGUAAAUCCAGGCCCAUCAACCUUGCUACCAGAUUCGGGGUCUUCGUCCCUGGUGAGGUGGUCGAAGGAAAGGGUCAGCAUCAGGGAGGUGGAAAUGGGAGGAAUGGUGGUGGUUCAAAUUCAAUGGAACCUGGAAAUCGAAGAGCUGGAAAACAGAGCACAUGCAGCCUGUUGAAGUGUCUUCAAGAGGUUCUUUCCUGGUGGAGGGCCUCGCCACUCCUCCGCCACCCUGGCGGCCGCCGCCGGCCAAGUACAGCCAGUCUCUGCCUCCCAUGGUAUGGAGGUCACUGAUUCACUCAAGCAAGCAAACUGAGCCUGAUUCUUGUAAUGGUUAUGGAGGGGAGCGAUAAAUUCGGAUCCAGGCAAGACCCUCUUUCUCUCUCUUCACUUUUUUCUUUCUUCUCUCUCUUAGAGCAAUGUCUGUCAGUUGCUGUCCAUCGUCAUCUCUCCCUGAAUUUUAAAUCCGAGGUAGUUUUAUAUAUAUAUUUUGGGGGAUCAGUGUUAUUUAUUUAUAUAUAUUCUGCCGCUGCUGAUCU